rnacentral:rRNA from 1 species
GACGCAACGCCGCGUGGAGGACGAAGAUCUUCGGGUCGUAAACUCCUGUCGAGCGGGAAGAAACCCGCGGGGGUGAACAGCUCCUGCGGUUGACGGUACCGCUAAAGGAAGCCCCGGCUAACUCCGUGCCAGCAGCCGCGGUAAUACGGGGGGGGCAAGCGUUGUUCGGAAUUACUGGGCGUAAAGGGCUCGUAGGCGGCCAACUAAGUCGGAUGUGAAAUCCCCAGGCUCAACUUGGGAACUGCAUCCGAUACUGGAUGGCUUGAAUCCGGGAGAGGGAUGCAGAAUUCCAGGUGUAGCGGUGAAAUGCGUAGAUAUCUGGAGGAAUACCGGUGGCGAAGGCGGCAUUCUGGACCGGCAUUGACGCUGAUGAGCGAAAGCCAGGGGAGCAAACGGGAUUAGAUACCCCGGUAGUCCUGGCCCUAAACGAUGAAUGCUUGGUGUGACGGGUAUCGAUCCCUGUCGUGCCGAAGCUAACGCAUUAAGCAUUCCGCCUGGGGAGUACGGUCGCAAGGCUG